rnacentral:rRNA from 1 species
UANNUGCAGUCGACGAUGAUCUCCAGCUUGCUGGGGGGAUUAGUGGCGAACGGGUGAGUAACACGUGAGUAACCUGCCCUUGACUCUGGGAUAAGCCUGGGAAACUGGGUCUAAUACCGGAUAUGACUCCUCAUCGCAUGGUGGGGGGUGGAAAGCUUUUGUGGUUUUGGAUGGACUCGCGGCCUAUCAGCUUGUUGGUGAGGUAAUGGCUCACCAAGGCGACGACGGGUAGCCGGCCUGAGAGGGUGACCGGCCACACUGGGACUGAGACACGGCCCAGACUCCUACGGGAGGCAGCAGUGGGGAAUAUUGCACAAUGGGCGCAAGCCUGAUGCAGCGACGCCGCGUGAGGGAUGACGGCCUUCGGGUUGUAAACCUCUUUCAGUAGGGAAGAAGCGUAAGUGACGGUACCUGCAGAAGAAGCGCCGGCUAACUACGUGCCAGCAGCCGCGGUAAUACGUAGGGCGCAAGCGUUAUCCGGAAUUAUUGGGCGUAAAGAGCUCGUAGGCGGUUUGUCGCGUCUGCCGUGAAAGUCCGGGGCUCAACUCCGGAUCUGCGGUGGGUACGGGCAGGCUAGAGUGAUGUAGGGGAGACUGGAAUUCCUGGUGUAGCGGUGAAAUGCGUAAAA